CAACACAAUGUCAUGGGCUUCUUUUUUGCCUGCCUGAUCCUUAUGGAUGUUCAUGUGACGUCGGUGCCCAUGGUCUAACAUGUAACACACUAUGUACUGUCGGUACAUAUGGUCCAGGAUGUUCACAGACAUGUCACUGCACAGGCGGUGGUUCAUCAUGUGAUAUCUAUACUGGAAUAUGUACAGGUGGAUGUCAGACUGGCUGGUCUGGGGAGAACUGUCAAAUUCCAGAUGAAUGUGAAGCCGGUUACUAUGGAUCUCAAUGCACUGAUAAAUGUCAUUGCUUGAAUGAUGAACCAUGUGAUAAACAGACUGGAGAGUGCCCUGAGCAGAAGUGUGCUCUAGGAUACAAAAUACGCAAUGGCGGGGUCCAAU